AGACCUCUGAUCAGAAAAGACUACCCGCUGAGUUUAAGCAUAUCACUAAGCGGAGGAGAAGAAACUAACCAGGAUUUCCCUAGUAACGGCGAGCGAACCGGAAAGAGCCCAGCUUGAA
rnacentral:rRNA from 1 species